UCCGCAUAGAGCGUCUGCUAGAGGCAGCCGCUGCGGCGCUAGGGGGCGCCCCGUAGCUGGCAUGCAAGCUACAGGGCAAGGGGAGGGGGCGUCGCCUGGCUCGGCUUCUCGCUGUCGCCUCACAUGGCGGCGACCAUGGACGGCGCGGCCGACGGCUCCAGCGGCGUCCCGGUGCAGCAGCAGCACCACGGAGGCCUCUUCUACCCUCCCGUCAUCAGCUCCUCGCUCGCGCCCUUCUGCUACGCUCUCGGCGGCGGGCAAGGCGGUCUCGCCACGUCGGCCGCCGACGGUGGCGAGGAGUUCUACGCCGGGCUCUCGUCUAUGCCGCUCAAGUCCGACGGCUCCCUAUGCAUCAUGGAGGCCCUCCGUAGGAGCGAGCAAGAACGUCACGGGGUGGCGGUGUCCUCGGUAUCGCCGAAGCUGGAGGAUUUCUUGGGCGCGAGCGCGAGCACCGCAAUGGCGCUGAGCUUGGACAGCCCCAGCUUCUACUACGGCGGCGCCCACGGCCACGGCGGGUACCUGCAGCCGCUGCAGUGCUCGAUGGUACCCGUCUCGUUGGGGGACGACGUUUACGGCGGCUGCCACGCGCAGAUGGUGGACGAGCAGUCCGCCGCGGCAAUGGCAGCGAGCUGGUUCUCAGCCCGCGGCGGUGGCGGUUGCUACGACGUCAACGGCGCCGGCGCCAUCGAGCCGUCGCAGGGCCACCCGCACGCGCUUGACCUUUCCAUGAGCUCCGGGACGGGUUCCCAGUCCAGCAGCGUCACCGUGUAAGCCGGCGCCAACGCCGACGACGUCGCCGAGUACGGCGCCGCGGACGGCAGCAAGAAGCGCGGUGGUGGUGGCGGCGGCGGCGGCGGCGGGCAGAAGCGGCCCACCGUCCACCGCAAGUCUAUCGACACGUUCGGCCAGCGCACGUCGCAGUACCGCGGCGUCACCAGGCAUAGGUGGACGGGGAGGUAUGAGGCGCACCUCUGGGACAACAGCUGCAGGAAGGAAGGCCAGACCCGGAAAGGCCGGCAAGUUUAUCUCGGUGGGUAUGACGUGGAGGAGAAGGCCGCGAGGGCGUAUGACCUGGCGGCGCUCAAGUACUGGGGGGGGGGGGGGGGGGGCGUCGACGCACGUAAACUUCCCGGUAAUGAGCUGCUGAACACAACGAUCGUCUGUCUGAACAUGGUAUGGUGUGUGUACUGCUGAUAGAUCUUUGCACACGUCUGUUUGCCGAUUCAGGUCGAGGACUACAGGGAGCAGCUGGAGGAGAUGAAGAACAUGACCAGGCAGGAGUACGUCGCUCACCUGAGAAGGAAAAGCAGCGGCUUCUCGCGCGGCGCUUCCAUCUACCGGGGAGUGACCAGGCAUCACCAGCACGGGCGGUGGCAGGCGCGCAUCGGCCGCGUCUCGGGCAACAAGGACCUCUACCUGGGAACAUUCAGGGCCCCUUUGGCACGCAGGAGGAGGCGGCGGAGGCGUACGACGUGGCGGCCAUCAAGUUCCGGGGCCUGAACGCGGUCACCAACUUCGACACCACGCGCUACGACGUGGACAAGAUCAUGGACAGCGGCACGCUGCUCCCUGGCGACCAGGUACGGCGCAGGAAGGAAGGCGGUGGCGCCGCCGUGGCGCUGGUGCAGGCCGGCGGCUGCAUGGCGGACACCUGCUGCAAGAUCCAGGCGGCGCUGCCUGCCGCUGUCGAGCGGGGCGGACGGCAGCGGCAGCAGCACCAGGACCUGUUGUCGAUCUCUGCUGCACGACACCGUGUCCGUGGACACUGCCGGGACCGGGGGCAGCGCCAGCGCGCACGUGUCGAACGCGUCGUCGCUGGCCCCGAGCGUGAGCAGCAGCUCCCGCGAGCAGAGCCCGGACCGGGGCGGCGUCAGCGCCAGCCUCGCCAUGCUCUUCGCCAAGCCCGCGGUGGCGCCCAGGCUGGCCUGCCCACUGCCGCUGGGGUCCUGGGUCUCGCCGUCGUCGGCUGCCAGGCCCGGCGUGUCCAUCGCGCACCUGCCGUUGUUCGCCGCUUGGACCGACGCUUGAACGAACAUCCGUGGCGUUAUAAGGGUAGACAGUGGAUAGGCGAAAACUGUGCUUCUUUUGGUUUGGUUAGGUAGCUGGGCAAGGUUUAGUUGUCAAGUCAGCUUAUGUCAUGGGCUGCUUGGCCCCUCACGACUCCUCCUCCAUUUGCGUCGGGACGAGGUUUCUUUUUGUAAUACUGGGUGCUAGCAGCAGCAUGGAUCUCCUCCUGUAGCUAAACCCAACACCAUUUU